CAUCACUCUUCAUUUUAAAACGUGAAUCAGACACUGCCCUAACCUACGAAAAUGAAAACCCAUUCUACGGUGACCCUGCCCUACUUCUGCCGUGACGCGACCACUGCCCACCGUGACUUUGACAUUUGUGGCUUAAGCGAGGUUGGGGUUGAGGGAGGAGGCUAGUCGUCGAGGGUCCCUGCCACAUUUGCUAUUCCUCCAAUCGUCCUUGUCGUGGUUGUUGCUGCAUCGUUUGUCGAGGGAAUCUGCUGUGUUCGCUGUCGCACCGACCGUCAAGUUCAAAUGGCACCAAGAUGGAAAGGAAAAGAUGCAAAAGCUAAAAAGGACGCAGAAGCCGGGGCGCUCAAGGAACCCAUGUCAAAGAUUGUAUUUGAACUCAAGUCUUCUCUAGUUCAAUCAGAUACUUGUGGAUUUCUCUCUGAUAACAAUGUACAGUUAGCUGUGGGAGCAGAGCAACUUGAUCUGCUUGAUAAAGCAUGCUUUGGUCGACCUGUGAGAACAAUUGAAAAGGACAAACACUGGUUUCAAUUAAGUUUUGAGGAGGCAUUCUACUUAUGUUAUUCCUUGAAAUGCCUUAAGAUUAACGGCAGUGGUACUGGUCCCCAAAAUGAUGAAGAGUUGUGGCAUUACAUGAAGUCAAAGAAAGAAACAUUCCCUUGUUUCUACAAGGCUUAUUCCCACCUUCGAAUGAAAAACUGGGUAGUACGGUCAGGAUCUCAAUAUGGUGUAGACUUUGUUAUAUAUCGCCACCAUCCAUCUCGGGUCCAUUCUGAGUAUGGUGUGCUUGUUUUAUCAGAGGGGGAACAUAAAGAUCUGAAUGGAAGACUCAGAGUAUGGUCUGAUGUUCAUUGCACAACUCGACUUGUUGGAAGUGUUGCAAAAAUCUUAUUGGUUCUACAGAUCAAUAAAAUUGGUAACAACGAGUCUCCAUUAUGUCUUGCAAACUAUACUGUUGAAGAGUGCACAAUCACCAGAUGGAGUCCAGAACAGAACCGUGAAAAUAUGUAGAUCAUGCUAGCACUGAUAACAAAGAGUAAUUAUAGAUACAUAUUUUCAAUGUCCUCCAGAUGCAUGUCUGCAGAACCUGAUCCUCGUCUGGCUUGAAUCUAAUGUUGAGGCAUACUCUGGUGAAACCACUUCAUUUUAUACUUUGAUUUAAUUUUAAUUUUGGUGUUUUUGUUUUGUGUGAUUGUUACUUUUAAUUUUAAUUGGUCAAUUAGUCAUAUUUAGU